rnacentral:rRNA from 1 species
CGUGUAGGCGGUUCUUUAAGUCUUUGGUGAAAUCUCCCAGCUUAACUGGGAGGCUGCCAGGGAUACUGGAGGACUUGAGGGCAGCAGAGGGAAGUGGAAUUCCCGGUGUAGUGGUGAUAUGCGUAGAUAUCGGGAGGAACACCAGUGGCGAAGGCGGCUUUCUGGGCUGUACCUGACGCUGAGGCGCGAAAGCGUGGGGAGCAAACAGGAUUAGAUACCCUGGUAGUCCACGCCUUAAACGAUGGAUACUAGGUAUGGGGGGUAUCGACCCCCCCCGUGCCGAAGUUAACGCUUUAAGUAUCCCGCCUGGGGAUUACGGCCGCAAGGCUAAA